rnacentral:pre_miRNA from 1 species
CGGGUGCGUUUUCUAGGCUCAGGUGAAGUCUUGUCCCCGGUGGUAAUGUUCACAGCUGCAGGCCGUGACUUCAUCUGGAUCU